CUCUACACCCUUUGUUGCUUCGGCGGGUAGGUGUGACAUACCUAUAACGUCUCCGCGACCCUCCCGGCCUCCCGCCUCCGGGCGGGUCGGCGCCCGCCGGAGGAUAACCAAACUCUGAUUUAACGACGUUUCUUCUGAGUGGUACAAGCAAAUAAUCAAAACUUUUAACAACGGAUCUCUUGGUUCUGGCAUCGAUGAAGAACGCAGCGAAAUGCGAUAAGUAAUGUGAAUUGCAGAAUUCAGUGAAUCAUCGAAUCUUUGAACGCACAUUGCGCCCGCCAGCAUUCUGGCGGGCAUGCCUGUUCGAGCGUCAUUUCAACCCUCAAGCUCUGCUUGGUGUUGGGGCCCUACAGCUGAUGUAGGCCCUCAAAGGUAGUGGCGGACCCUCUCGGAGCCUCCUUUGCGUAGUAACUUUACGUCUCGCACUGGGAUCCGGAGGGACUCUUGCCGUAAAACCCCCAAUUUUCCAAAGGUUGACCUCGGAUCAGGUAGGAAUACCCGCUGAACUUAAGCAUAUCAAUAAGCGGA
rnacentral:rRNA from 1 species